rnacentral:tRNA from 1 species
CGGCCGGUGGGGCGGUCCCGGCCCGGCUCCGGGCCGGGCGGCGGCGGCGCGGUCUCCUCCUCGGUCACC